UUGAGCCUCAGUUUCCUCAUCUGUAAAAUGAGGGGGUUGGGCCAGAUGGUUCCUAAGAUGUAUUUUAAUUUUAGAUCCAUGAUUCCAUUAUCUCAGUUUGGGAAGCUUUAGAUUUGAGGAACCCAAGGUCUCCUCUCAGAGAAUUCUGAUGGUCUGGCUACAGACAGUAUCCAGAGUUGAGAAACAGAGGUUCUCUUACCCUAGAUCUAUACCACACUGUGCCUCAAUGUGACCAUAGAGCAUACGGGGACUUGAAAUACAUAAACAGAGCCCACGAAUUCUGGCCAGAGGAGUCCAGAAGUAUGACUAAAAGGGAGGGAGGAUGCAGUGUGAAGGAAGGUGAUUUGUGUGUCUCAGUCACAGGGUAUAAGGAGGAUAGUGGAGCAUAAGUGGCCAGCGUGGUGUCGGGAAUAGUGGGGAAGGACUGCUGGAGAGAUGAGACACGUGACAUGGGAUAUACAUGAGACGCUGGGUGAGAGCCAGAACUCAGGUGGGGCAAUUGGGGCGUUAGCCCAGGGAACCUGUAUGUGCAGUUCUUCAGCGGCACAGAUUCAACAGACCUCAGCACUUCCUUUGUGGGGAAAGGGAGUUGUUUUCCAGACCCAUGAUGGUGUCUGUGUAGAGAACCCCUGGGGAGGAGCUCCCUUCACCAAUGAAGCAGCAGCUGCCUGUAACAUUUAGUCUGGGAGAGUUACCAGAAGACAACCAGUCAGCAAGAGCUUGCUAGAGCAUGGAGCACAGGAAGCUACCAGAUGGUGACUGAGGUUGGUCAAGGGGAAGUUUCCUCUCAGCCCACUAUGAUCUGAGGGCAGAAGACCAUAGAGUUGCUCUUCUAUCAAGAUGCUUUCUGAUUGGCUGAAAAUGAGGCUGGGCUUGGCUAAACAGUCAGGGAAUGAGUGAGCUCUGGAGAGCUCAAGCGGGUCAAUCUCCAACUUGGUUUGGGGCAUGUUUAUUCUCCUGGGGUUACAGGUGGGAGGGAAGAUAAAGGGAAGAGGAGAGAGUGACAGUUAAGGAGUAAUCAGAGUAGCCAGGUUGGAUCUGGGAGAAACUGAGGAAUUACCUUGCCAACAUAUUGUUUUUGAAUCUGUAUGUUCAACUUCCCUUGAUAAAUCCUGGAAAAUAC